AAGAUCUUUACAGGUGUGUGCAUAUGAAUUUCAUUGCUGACUCAUCGAAGCAAUCUCUCCAACUCUCACACGCCAAAUGCUUCGAUUCCAUAAAGCUUCCCGUCGGUGUAUCACUGUAUGAUCAAUUGCAUUACUCGCUCGCGAGAGAGAGGUGUUAAAAUUUUCGUAUGAUCGGCGACGUAACCGUGUUUGAGGAUUCCGAUCAGAAUGUCGUCGGCGUUGACUCCUCGCACAGCUGCUUAUCUUGGUGCCGUCGCUCUACAAAUCGAGAAGAAGCUCCAACGCGCUUUAGGUUCGGCAUCGCAGAGCCGGAACUUGCUGCAGGAGUUGUUCGCCGACAUAGCUUUGGAGGUGGAUGAUCGCGCUAAAGAGAUUAUUUUUGAAGAGGAAGGUGUAGUUUAUGGUGCAGAAGAUAGAUAUGGUCGCGCAUACUGCUUCUACGAUGUCCUUGCUGAUUAUUUUGUAAGCACGCCGAAGAGUGGAGAUUCGAUAAUUGAGCUCAUAGUACAACUCUGGAGCCAGUCAUUUGCAUCUAAUAUAUUUUGCCUUUUGUUCUACAAGAGGAUGUUUGAGGUUCGGUUUGAUAAUCUUGAUGUCAUAUUGCGUUACUCAUCUGCUCUAGUCCAAGGUGCUAAAAAUGUCUUCUGGACUGACAUUCAUACAAAUGCAAGGCGCUUCUCAAGUCUCUUUAUUUAUCUUCUUGAAGAAGUUGCUUUCCGUCCAGAGAGAUUAAAGACGAUCUCCCCACAGGCUCAGAGAGACCUUUUUCUUCUUCUCUCAAGAUUCCUAUUUUUCUAUGACACAGAUGAUCGACUUGAAAUAUUUUUGAAGCAAUUUCCAGAUUUUCCAAAUGCCAUUUUAGUAGGUGGUGCACCAGACAUAUUUGUCAGUGAACUUGCUAAUCAGCUUCAGGAAUUGAAGGUAGAACCGGUCCUUCUUCAUUAUUUAUCUCGUGUAAAAGUUCUUCAAGUUCAUGGAACUGGGGCUAUAUGAGAGCUGAAUGUGUGAAAAAUGGAAGAGAGAACAGAACUGCUUUAUUAUCUAGACGACAUAAAUUGUUGGGAAAUAUCCUAGACACAUAAUCAGUCUCUUCUUUCAACUAUUUUAUCCAUGGUACUGGCCUUCUACUUGUUGGAACUUGAUACGUUCUUGUGUAAGAGCUAUCCUAUAUUACGUCUUGAUGUUGUUAUUCUCUAUAUGGGAAAGACUGACAAAAUUGAAGCCCUCAUAGGAAUAGAGAGAGAGAGGGUUCUGCGAGUCUAAUUCUAAUGUUGGACCCUGCCUAAUGUAAUGGCAUUGUAUGUAAGAAUAAAUGUAACUCAAUUAUGUAGUACUCGCUAACUCUGCCAAAAUUAUGCAUCGUAAUAUAAAGACUUCAUUCACAUA